UCUCCCGUGGCGCAAUUGGCUAGCGCGUCUGACUGUUAAUCAGGAGGUUGGUGGUUCGAGCCCACCCGGGAGAG
rnacentral:tRNA from 1 species